GAUGAACGCUGGCGGCGUGCCUAAUACAUGCAAGUCGAGCGAACAGACGAGGAGCUUGCUCCUCUGGCGUUAGCGGCGGACGGGUGAGUAACACGUGGAUAACCUACCUAUAAGACUGGGAUAACUUCGGGAAACCGGAGCUAAUACCGGACAAUAUAUUGAACCGCAUGGUUCAAUAGUGAAAGACGGUUUUGCUGUCACUUAUAGAUGGAUCCGCGCCGCAUUAGCUAGUUGGUAAGGUAACGGCUUACCAAGGCAACGAUGCGUAGCCGACCUGAGAGGGUGAUCGGCCACACUGGAACUGAGACACGGUCCAGACUCCUACGGGAGGCAGCAGUAGGGAAUCUUCCGCAAUGGGCGAAAGCUUGACGGAGCAACGCCGCGUGAGUGAUGAAGGUCUUCGGAUCGUAAAACUCUGUUAUUAGGGAAGAACAAAUGUGUAAGUAACUAUGCACGUCUUGACGGUACCUAAUCAGAAAGCCACGGCUAACUACGUG
rnacentral:rRNA from 1 species